rnacentral:rRNA from 1 species
GUGGGGAAUAUUGCACAAUGGGGGAAACCCUGAUGCAGCGACGCCGCGUGGAGGAAGAAGGUCUUCGGAUUGUAAACUCCUGUUGUUGAGGAAGAUAAUGACGGUACUCAACAAGGAAGUGACGGCUAACUACGUGCCAGCAGCCGCGGUAAAACGUAGGUCACAAGCGUUGUCCGGAAUUACUGGGUGUAAAGGGAGCGCAGGCGGGAGAACAAGUUGGAAGUGAAAUCCAUGGGCUCAACCCAUGAACUGCUUUCAAAACUGUUUUUCUUGAGUAGUGCAGAGGUAGGCGGAAUUCCCGGUGUAGCGGUGGAAUGCGUAGAUAUCGGGAGGAACACCAGUGGCGAAGGCGGCCUACUGGGCACCAACUGACGCUGAGGCUCGAAAGUGUGGGUAGCAAACAGGAUUAGAAACCCUAGUAGUCC